GCGAGUGAAGCGGCAAAAGCUCAAAUUUGAAACCCUCGGGAUUGUAAUUUGAAGAUUUGGAAUUGAGAAAAGCUACCCCAAGUUACUUGGAAUAGUACGUCAUAGAGGGUGACAACCCCGUCUGGCUAACCGUUUCUCAUGUAUUUCCUUAUCAAAGAGUCGAGUUGUUUGGGAAUGCAGCUCAAAGUGGGUGGUAAACUCCAUCUAAAGCUAAAUACUGGUGAGAGACCGAUAGCGAACAAGUACUGUGAAGGAAAGGUGAAAAGAACUUUGAAAAGAGAGUGAAAUAGUAUGUGAAAUUGUUGAUAGGGAAGGGAAUGAGCGGAGAGUGGUUGAGGUUUCAGGUUUCGUUCGCGAUGGCGUACUGCCAACGCCGAGUCAUGCUGAGUGGAGAGAGGGUUAUAAACGGGUUGCUCUUGAGCUUCUCACCUACCCCUCCCCCUCCUUUCCACGACAUAAUCCGCCCAUUCCACCC
rnacentral:rRNA from 1 species